UACAGAGGUCCCGAGCGUUGUUCGGAUUCACUGGGCGUAAAGGGUGCGUAGGUGGUGAGGUAAGUCGGAUGUGAAAUCUCCGGGCUCAACCCUGAAAUGGCAUUGGAAACUACCUUGCUGGAGGAUUUGAGGGGGGAUUGGAAUACUUGGUGUAGCAGUGAAAUGCGUAGAUAUCAAGUGGAACACCAGUGGCGAAGGCGACUCUCUGGGCUGUAACUGACGCUGAGGCGCGAAAGCGUGGGGAGCAAACAGG
rnacentral:rRNA from 1 species